rnacentral:lncRNA from 1 species
UGGCAUUUGCCGUGAAUAUCUUUUGAAUAUAUUUUCUACUUUGAAGAAUUUGAUUUUACCUAAUGGUUACAUGGGAACAAGUGGCAUCCUCAUGUGUACUGUUCAACAACAAGGGAAUAAAAUUUGAAGACAAUAUUCUUUCUCUUCAGGCCACAGCAUUUGAAAAGUCAUCUAUAAGUCCAUGCUACAAAAUCCUGAUAAUGGAAAGGAAUGAAUAAAGUUAGGCCGAAAAAAGAUGGCAUUGUAAGUUUCAACAAAUCAAGUUUGAAAAGCCAGAGACUUUGUGAACUUUAUGCCAGUACAUGCUAAUAUACUGGUUCAUACUGCCAACAUUGAAUGUGUUAUAUCAUUAACAAUUUUUCAGUGAACAAAUGAACAAAAUUAAUUGGAUAUGACCACUAUAGAAACUGUGUCAUUAUGGAGUGACAUAUAAAUGGAAUACAUACUGCAAGGAAUUUUAUAAGCAAACUCUGUGAAACAAAAAACCAUUUGGGAGAGCCAAACCAUCAGAGAAUAUGAUUUUUAAAAACAGAGAAUUCUACGUAUGGAAAAGAGCUAUUUGUAGCUGCAUAAAGAAAAGCUGCCACCCUAGGAAAGACUUUGACCCAUCCAGCCUGUGCUGCCUGUCCUGUAAAGUAUUUGAUUUCAAGAAUGCACAGCAGAUUUGCAAGGAGGGAAUAAUGAAUAUGUGGUAUGGCACAACUCUACUCAGAAGUGACAAGUAAGUUCCAUAUUACAUAUCAAUGUGGGUAAAUUAAAAUGUACUUCAAGUACAGUGUGUAAAAGGAUUCUGGAACCAACAGGAAAGAGCACCAUUACUAUUUAAUUAAUUGCUAUUUGAAGACCAUCCCAGGGCCUGGUGCCGUGGCUCAUGCCUACAAUCCCAGCAUUUUGGGAGGCCGAGGUGCGUGGAUCACCUGAGGUCAGGAGUUUGAGACCAGCCUGGCCAACAUGGCAAAAUCCCAUCUCUACUAAAAAUACUAAAUGAGCUGGACAUGGUGGCAGUUGCCUGUAAUCCCAGCUACUCGGAAGGCUGAGGCAGGAGAAUCGCUUGAACCCAGAAGGUGGAGGUUGCAGUGAGCUGAGAAUGCGCCACUGCACUCCAGCCUGGGCAGCAGAGCCAGACUCUGUCUCAAAAAAGACCAUUUCAGGUAGGUCAGGAAGGAUUGGAUAUUGAAACAUCAAACGGUAGGGAAAGACCAAGGCGCAUGUGUUAUCUUUAUGCAGUAGUUAUUCCAAAUAGAACAGAAUAACACUGUUGAAAGCAGAUGUUUUGCAAAUCCCCCUGUAGUAUCCUCAAUUAAAUUCAGAGAUAGUGUAAUCUCCCCACAUGUAUAAUUUAAAAGCUAUCAGUAGAUUAUAAUAUAAAUAUAAAUGAAAAAUAGAAUGUAAUUUGUGAUAAAAACCAUCUAUUAGAUACCUUAAUAUUGGCCAGUGCUACACCACUAUCCAUAAUGCAAAUUAUUUAUUAUAAAGAAGACAGUUACAAAUAU